CCUACGGGUGGCACCAGUGGGGAAUAUUGCACAAUGGGCGCAAGCCUGAUGCAGCGACGCCGCGUGAGGGAUGACGGCCUUCGGGUUGUAAACCUCUGUUAGCAGGGAAGAAGAGAGAUUGACGGUACCUGCAGAGAAAGCGCCGGCUAACUACGUGCCAGCAGCCGCGGUAAUACGUAGGGCGCGAGCGUUGUCCGGAAUUAUUGGGCGUAAAGAGCUUGUAGGCGGUUUGUCGCGUCUGCUGUGAAAGGCCGGAGCUUAACUCCGUGUAUUGCAGUGGGUACAGGCAGACUAGAGUGCAGUAGGGGAGACUGGAAUUCCUGGUGUAGCGGUGGAAUGCGCAGAUAUCAGGAGGAACACCGUUGGCGAAGGCAGGUCUCUGGGUUGUAACUGACGCUGAGAAGCGAAAGCAUGGGGAGCGAACAGGAUUAGAUACCCUCGUAGUC
rnacentral:rRNA from 1 species